GAAAUUUCAGAGAGACGAGUCGUCUUCCUCCUCUAAUAUCUCUCUUCUCCUAACCCUAAGUCAGCAAUGGCCGUUGAUGUCCUAGCAAUCAAACUCUACCAAAUUGGUUCCACGGAACCACCAGAUCACUCUCGCAUCAAAUCCAUGAGCUAUCUUCCCCAAAUACUCCCCAACCGUCUUCAAUCGUAAAUCAAAGCUCAAAGUCUCUAAGAUUCAAGACCAAACCUGAACAUGCAAAGCGACUGCUCCAGUUUUCUCGAGGUUUUUAAAGUCGACUUCGUCGCGAAUUAGUAUUGCUCGCUUGUUCUUGACAAAGAAUAAGAGGUUGAUACUGUUUGGUGUAGAAGUCAAGAAGCCGGGUUCGAAGUCAAGUCCGGUGAGGUGAGUCUUUUCUCUGGUUGAUGCUUUCUGAAUAUUUGGGUUUCUGCUUUCCUUUCUUCUUCUUUUGAACAAUUCAGUCGAAAUUCAAGUUGAGUAUUAGCCAUAGUAGUUAGCUGUUGUUUAAUCAUUCUUUAAAUCUAUUUUUGUUAUAGUUAAUCUUAUCAGGACUUGGUCCAAAUAUUUUCAUGUGAAUAAUUGAGUUAGUUUAUUCGACUUUGAUUAUUUGAUUGGGCUGUUUGAUUUGAAUAGUUGGUUCAGAUUGUUUUUGGGGGAAACUUUUGAGCCAGCUCUAUUUUAGGAUCACUCAGUGCCCAAUUGGGCUUUUAGUUCAAGAGCCCGAUUGGUUUGGUCAAUUGACCUAGGCUAGGUUAAGGGUAGUUUUAGGGUAAUUUCAGGGUCAUUAAAGGGUAAUCUAGGUAGUUCAAUACAGUGAAUCUUUGUGUAACUAAAAGAAGAAGCUUCUAGCAAGGGCUACUAGCCAAUUUCAGGCUUUUAAAUGGCUAAGCUUUGGCAUCAAGUUAGUAGUUGGAGGAUUAAGUAGAAAAAGGGAAGUGUAAUGGGGACUAACUCGAAAUAAUUGAACCCUAAAGGGGCGGCCCUCACUCUUACCUAUAAAAGGCAUGCCUCAUGCCUUGAACAAUAAGUUUGAAGCCCUACAAUCCCCCCCCCCCCCCAAAAAAAAANNNNNNNNNNNNNNNNNNNNNNNNNNNNNNNNNNNNNNNNNNNNNNNNNNNNNNNNNNNNNNNNNNNNNNNNNNNNNNNNNNNNNNNNNNNNNCCCACCCCCCCCCAAUAAAACAAUUAAUCUAUAGUUUCAUAUCCAAAUCUGAUUUUCAGAUCUGAAAUUUUGAACUCUUCUUUCCAUCCUAGAAAAAUCAAAUAAUAAAAUAAAAUACAAAGCUACAGAGAAAAACAAAAAAAUCAUUGUGCUAUUGAAUUAUUAGGUAUAUUUCGAGUUUAAUAAUGGCAAUGCAUCUUCUAGCUUAGGUUUUAUCCACUGGCUGGUUUCUAGAGACUCCUGGGGUAGCUUUCGAGUGGUCUUGAUUGUAACAAGCUGAUUUGGGAUAAUUUUCAUUGGUGUUGUUCUGUUUCUAUCCAUUGUUUGUCAUAAUUGGUGCUGGUGUUGGUUUUGAAAUCUUCCUGGAUUGCCGAUCCUAUUUCUGGAGCAUUUCGAGUCCAUUUGAGUGCAUUUCAAAUGAUUGUAGUUGAUUGCUUGGGUCUGCCUGGUUUCAAACUUUUCUGGGCUGUUGAACUAACUUUCUUGGCUACCGUUUGAGUUCUGCUUGUUCCUGCUACUGAUUUCAGCUUCUCCUUCUUAUUUGUGAUUUCCAAGUACCAUACUGAGCCCAAAUUGAUGUAGUUUCACCUCUGAAAGUAUGAAAUAAAAUUGUUGCAAAGUUUCCUGUUGAGCAUCUGCACCUUAGUUAAUUUUAGUCAUGUUUCGAAUUAGUGGUUCAUUGUAUUCAAAUUGGCAUUGUUGUUGAAUUGUUUGGAUUGUUUUGACUCAAGGAUUGUUUGGGUUUGGACUAUGCUUAUUCAUAAGUCAUAAUAAUUUGUACAGUACACUGUUAAUCAAAAGUAGCUGGAAGUUGAACAGGAGAAUGCUUUUGGAACCCAUGGGUUUACUUGUAAGAAUCUGAAAAUUGAAUAUUAGUUAAAUUGAAUCAGUGCUGCUGUUGAAGAGAUACUAUAAUUGUUCUUAGUUAGUGUACUCAGAAGCUCAGCAAUGAAAGGAUAAAUAGGAUAAUUUGUCACUGGUUAUUUUUUCUUAGUAUUUGAAUUUGCACGGAAAUUAACCGUAUUUUUGGGAAUGAUUGGGCCAUGCAUACACAUUUGAACGCUUCGCUGCCUCAGUCUAAGUUCGACCUUAAAUUAAUUUGUAAGGGUGAGUUGGUCCUCUGAUGCGUUGGACUUCUACAUGCCUAGCAGGCCCAAACUCGCCCAUGCUGGUCCACCAUCGAGAUAGUUCUAUUUGGGCUGACCAUGGGCCCAUUCACGUGAAUAAUUACUCGGCUCAUAUUGGGCCUGUUUCAGAAUUGUUCAACCCAAAAUUAAGCAAUAAUUCGAGUUUGGGUUUUGAGUUAGGUAGCGGGUUUUAAACUAAAAGUCUUGUACUCUUUUUUGGACCCAGACUUGAACUCGGGACCCGAAUUCUAACAAUCAAUUAGGAAUUUUCUUUUCUUUUAGAGACAAAAACAAAAAUAGAAAAUAUAGUCGCUUAGGUUUAUCCUUUAAAAUAAAAUGAGAUGAGCUUCGCCCAAUAAAACGC
rnacentral:lncRNA from 1 species